GGAGCCCAUGACUGGCUGUGGUGGGUGAUGACUCCUGAGAGCUGGCCUGAAGAGAAGGCAAAGUGCUCCCCCGUGGAGGAGCCCCACCAGAUGCCGGUAGGAAGUAGUCCAGGGAAAUCAGACUUUGGUCCUGUUGUGUUGCCAGGAGACCAUUCAGCAUUUUGAAGACAAAGAAUUUGUAUGCCACCCCUUUCUUCCCCCGCACUCUCGUGCCAAGACGGGCGUCUCACAUCAGGCAGAUGAAUAGCAGGUCUGUUUCAGCAGCUGUGCUCUCCUACCCAGGGAAGCAUUAUAGAGUCCCUGGGACUGCAGAGUCCCAAGCUACUGUGCAGUCUGCAGAAGGCUGAGGAAGAGACCUAAGGGCAAAAGAAUGGCAUCAGAAGGGGAAAUCAUCAACCUUCAAGCGGGGAAUCCUGGCUCAAGGAGGGACAAUCCAAUCAACAUCAACCACUAUGCAACUAAGAAGAGUGUGGCAGAAAGUAUGCUGGAUGUGGCGCUGUUCAUGGCCAAUGUCACACAACUCAAAGCAGUGCUGGAGCAGGGGGUUUCAUUCCAGUAUUAUGCCACCCUGAUAUCGCUCAUCAGCAUCUCUCUCUUCUUCCAGGUGGUGAUUGGAAUUCUUCUUAUCAUCAUUGCUCGGCUGAACCUGAAUGAUGUGUCAAAGCAGCAUCGCCUGAACGUGCUCAAUAACACUGCCACGGCUCUGAUCUUCAUCACUGUCAUCCUCAACAUCUUCAUCACUGGCUUUGGCGUGCAGAAGACUGGUCUCUACCCUACCAGGAGACGUUACUGAGGCUUGGAGCGCAAGGGAAUCAGAAUCAGUCAGGACUGGUUCAUAGAAUGCUUUGAGAUUCUUCAGCUUGAAAAGCAUGAAAUAGCAUUGUAAGGCCUCUAAAUGCUGCCAUAAGCCCUGAUCCUGCAACACUUAUGCGCAUGUUAACUACAAGCACAGAAGUCAUCCUAUUGGACUAGAAUGAUGCAGUGCUAGAAGAGGUUGUGUGUGUGGCACCAACUUUAGGGUCCCUUCUUUCAAUUUUUUUUUUACUGACCUCAGCAGAAUCCUACCAGCUGAGUGGAGACAGAGAACUGAAUUACUCUUUAAAAAUUGUUUGCAAAGUAUUUUAUGCAGGUUGUUUGUAUAAAGCAUGUGUAGCUUUGCAGGAAAGAAAUUUCCAUUGAUUUUUUUCAACGCUAGUGCAAGCUGUGCAGUGAUUUCUAGAGAGCUUCACAAAAAGUUGCAAAAAAGCAUUUUCCAAACAUGCUCCUGUGCAUAGGUAACAACAAACUUUUCUCUGAUUUUAAUUCUCUGCUUCUCAUAUUCAGUAUUAACUAAUUUUAGUUCCAGGUUGAGUUAUAUUUAUUUGGUAAGCAAAACUAACCAUACCGUGUCCAGAUAUUUUGUAACUGGCAACACUUAAAGUAACACUAUCAAACAGUUUAUGUCUCAAAUAUAGGUUGGUUGGUUGGUUGUUUUUGUGGGAGGAAAGGAGCGGGUGAGUGUGUUAUGAUGACUCAUAGGAAUAAAAAUGUUUUCUUCAAGGUUGCUUAAAAAAAAAAUCAAAUGAGAUGUUUUUUGAAAACCAUUGAACAUUCCUCUGCAGUGCAGGAAACCUAAACCCCACAGCAAAUAGAUACUUAUGCUUAGAUACCACCACAAGGACCUUGUUAGAAAUCCUCUAUGGAUAACAUGGGGGUACUGUAGGAGAAAUAGGAAAUGAAGCUGACUAAACACAGAAAGUGAAACAGACCAGUCUAGCUUCACUUGUCUACAUUAACUGAGGUGCAAAAAGUAAACAAACAGCAUAUACAUGUUCAAGAGCAAACUGGGUUUAAACCUUUUUUUGGUGUUAUAAUUAAAGGUUAUCAGUAACAGGUAUGCUGUUAAAUACAUGAUUUUUAUCCUGCUAGUUCUGAUGAGAAUUCUACUGUAUUGGAAAGUGGUUUUACACAACCUCAAAGCAGUAAUGAAAAGAAAAAGUAUCUUCAGAUCAUUCUGAGUUAUUUAGCAGGUUCUUUCUGGCAGCCUGAUUUUUGGAUUAUUGGUGUUAAGUCAAAAAUAUCCAAUUUUUGAGUGUGUCAGUUAUUUGCAUACUUGAGUACUAUGUUUUCCUGUUUAUUAAAUGAUUUUUCACUCAACGACAGAGUCAGAUUUCAAUAUGGGUGAAAUCCUAUGUAUCCAAGAAACUGAUAGAAAAUUCCUAAGGUUGACAUGUACAUUCCCAUCACAGCUGGAUAGGAAAGGAAAGGCAACAGUAACUGCAUGAUGAUAUUCACAUAUUCUCCUCAGAAGAGCUUCUAAGAGAUACUGGAUAGUGCUAAUAUGGCUGUUGCUGGCAUGACUUUGGCAGGUGUCACUGUUUACCUCCCACAAGCUGAGCUGACCUCCUGUGUGUUUGACUUUUCAGAUCUCCUUCAAGAAAUCUACUCUGUUGCAUUUCAAUUUAAAUCGGAGGUAUUAGCUUCAUCCUGGAGACAGGGGCAAAUGACAUUUCUGUAGCGUGUUCCACCCAUGAAUUAGCUGACUAUAGAAAAGCAGAGGCAUCAUUACAUUUCUAACUCUCCAGUAAUUUGCUUUAUAGGAUAUUGCCUACUGAUCCUUCUGAGGGUUCUUCUAUAGGCAAAAGCCCUAUGGUGGGUAUUUCUUAGUAGUAGCCAUGACAGACUGUUUAGAUUUUCUUGCUUCAGAUUAUACACACAAUAAUAUUAAUGAUUACUUUGUAGUCAUCCACCUUUGGUUAUUUUGCCCAGGGGUAACUAAAGCUGCCUCAUCUACAUGCUAGAGGCACCGUCUCUAAAAGUUAGAGGGUUGUUUGCUCUCUGUGGUUAUUUCAUUCCUUGGCCUCUCUAUGGAGCCAGCCAAGAAGUUGCUAGCAGGCGCAGCAGUGAGGAUUUAUGAGGUGGAUAUUUCCCCACUAGCAGCUAGACUGAGGCUAUUUCAGACAGGCCACCAAGGAACUAUCAGGUCAUGGCUUUCAACUACUACUGACCUGACUGGGUUUAGGCAAAGGUGACAAGCUUCAUAUCCUUUUCUCAGGUGCAAACCACCCACUCCCUCAUGGCCACAGCCUGCUCCACAGAGCCAGCGGCUGAGCAGUAAUGGCUGAAUGUCAAACAAAUGACUCAGCAGAGGAGGAAGAGUUAACUUGGAUGGCCUUCUCUCUCACAGAGAUGCCAAGCCAUGUAGUGCUGCAUGUGAGGCAUAUUUGUGUGGGGACUGCUUCCCAUUACUGAACAUGACACAGCAGGAGACCAGCACACAGUGGGCAGGGGUGGUCUGCCCUUUAUCACCUCUCAAUCAUGGAGUCAGAAGCACUGGCACUCCUGGCUGCCUUCUCACUUCUAUGUAUCAGACCUCAGCUCUGUUCUGACCUGCUUGCACUCCCAUAGGC